GCUACUCCCAGUCCCUGUGCUGAGAGCUUUGACUCCAUUCUGCAGCUGAGCUCUCCAGGAGUCUGGGGAGCAGAUGGACAUUUUAAUAAUGAGGAGUCUACACUGGAGGCUUUACUGUGGGAGGAGCCCACAGGCUGGCACAACAAGCCUUGGAAACUUCCUUGAAGCCCAACUGAGAUGUUGGAACAAGCCGAUGACUGACUCGGUUCCCACACUGGAAUGCCGGCCUGGGGAAGAAUGCAGCAGAGCUUUCUGGCUGCCUGCGACCCUCGGCUACGAUGGGCCUCCGACAUUCUCUUGCUCGUGCAUCAAGCCUUCGGCUGCUCACUGCCAAGUAUUAAGUGCUUGUUCCACAAAGCUGGUGUAGAUUAUCACUUUGCUGUAUAGAUGUAUCUAAUAGAAUUAAAUAGUUGGCUCCUGACCAGUAA